rnacentral:rRNA from 1 species
UUUGAUCCUGGCUCAGGAUGAACGCUAGCGGCAGGCCUAACACAUGCAAGUCGAGGGGUAGGGGACUUCGGUUCCUGAGACCGGCGCACGGGUGCGUAACGCGUAUGCAAUCUGCCUUACACUAAGGGAUAGCCCAGAGAAAUUUGGAUUAAUACCUUAUAGUAUAUGAUGGGGACAUCCCCGACAUAUUAAAGUAUCAACGGUGUAAGAUGAGCAUGCGUCCCAUUAGCUGGUUGGUGUGGUAACGGCACACCAAGGCAAUGAUGGGUAGGGGUCCUGAGAGGGAGAUCCCCCACACUGGUACUGAGACACGGACCAGACUCCUACGGGAGGCAGCAGUGAGGAAUAUUGGUCAAUGGGCGCAAGCCUGAACCAGCCAUGCCGCGUGCAGGACGACGCAUCUAUGGUGUGUAAACUGCUUUUGUACGGGAAGAAACCCUGCCUCGUGAGGCAGAUUGACGGUACCGUAAGAAUAAGGAUCGGCUAACUCCGUG